rnacentral:rRNA from 1 species
AUUGCAGGCUGCAACUCGCCUGCAUGAAGUCGGAAUUGCUAGUAAUCGUGGAUCAGCAUGCCACGGUGAAUAACGUUCCCGGGCCUUGUACACACCGCCCGUCACACCAUGGGAGUCGGUAACACCCGAAGCCUGUAGUCUAACCGCAAGGAGGACGCAGUCGAAGGUGGGAUUGAUGACUGGGGUGAAGUCGUAACAAGGUAUC